rnacentral:rRNA from 1 species
UGGGGAAUAUUGCACAAUGGGGGAAACCCUGAUGCAGCGACGCCGCGUGAGCGAAGAAGGCCUUCGGGUCGUAAAGCUCUUUUAUAUGGGAAGAUAAUGACGGUACCAUAAGAAAAAGCCCCGGCUAACUACGUGCCAGCAGCCGCGGUAAUACGUAGGGGGCUAGCGUUGUCCGGAAUCACUGGGCGUAAAGGGUUCGCAGGCGGCAAUGCAAGUCAGAUGUAAAAGGCAGUAGCUUAACUACUGUAAGCAUUUGAAACUGCAUAUCUUGAGAAGAGUAGAGGUAAGUGGAAUUUUUAGUGUAGCGGUGAAAUGCGUAGAUAUUAAAAAGAAUACCGGUGGCGAAGGCGACUUACUGGGCUCAUUCUGACGCUGAGGAACGAAAGCGUGGGUAGCAAACAGG